GAUGAACGCUGGCGGCGUGCUUAACACAUGCAAGUCGAACGAGAAGUGAAGACGGAAACCUUCGGGCGGAAGGCUUUAUUUCGAGUGGCGGACGGGUGAGUAACGCGUGGGUAACCUGCCUCAUACAGGGGGAUAACAGUUGGAAACGACUGUUAAUACCGCAUAAGACCACAGCACCGCAUGGUGCGGGGGUAAAAACUCCGGUGGUAUGAGAUGGACCCGCGUUCGAUUAGCCAGUUGGCGGGGUAACGGCCCACCAAAGCGACGAUCGAUAGCCGAUCUGAGAGGAUGACCGGCCACAUUGGGACUGAGACACGGCCCAAACUCCUACGGGGGGCAGCAGUGGGGAAUAUUGCACAAUGGGGGAAACCCUGAUGCAGCGACGCCGCGUGAGUGAAGAAGUAUUUCGGUAUGUAAAGCUCUAUCAGCAGGGAAGAAAAUGACGGUACCUGAGUAAGAAGCCCCGGCUAACUACGUG
rnacentral:rRNA from 1 species